UAGGGAAUCUUCCGCAAUGGGCGAAAGCCUGACGGAGCAACGCCGCGUGAGUGAUGAAGGUCUUCGGAUCGUAAAACUCUGUUAUUAGGGAAGAACAAAUGUGUAAGUAACUAUGCACGUCUUGACGGUACCUAAUCAGAAAGCCACGGCUAACUACGUGCCAGCAGCCGCGGUAAUACGUAGGUGGCAAGCGUUAUCCGGAAUUAUUGGGCGUAAAGCGCGCGUAGGCGGUUUUUUAAGUCUGAUGUGAAAGCCCACGGCUCAACCGUGGAGGGUCAUUGGAAACUGGAAAACUUGAGUGCAGAAGAGGAAAGUGGAAUUCCAUGUGUAGCGGUGAAAUGCGCAGAGAUAUGGAGGAACACCAGUGGCGAAGGCGACUUUCUGGUCUGUAACUGACGCUGAGGUGCGAAAGCGUGGGGAGCAAACAGG
rnacentral:rRNA from 1 species